GCAGCCUGGAAUCGAACCACCAACCUUGUGCUUCCCAGCACACCUUCUCUUACCCCUGCGCCACGACGACCCCGAUACGUUUGGCGUCCGCAGGAGAAGAUCUCGCCGCAGCCAAUGGCAGCCGACUUGUUCAGAGGGAUCAGUGAGAAGACACAUGGUAGCAGAUUUUGAUAAUCCACGUAUCCACUGGGAUGACUCUGAGCCAUUUCUGGUCAAAGUGAUUUAUUUUUAAAAUAAUCCGUACCAUGGCAACAAGAGAUACGCCUCAAUGCACUGAGCAGUUCACAGUGUUUGCACACAACAAAAUAGUAGUGGCGUACAUUUAGUCAACCAAUAAAAGACCAUGUAGGUCUGAGGUUUAUCAAAAUAUGGUCCUCUGCUUGCUAUAAAAUGUCUUUCCAAGCUGUUCCAAAUUAGGUUCUUGAACGUGCAGACAGAAAAGGCUUUUUGCUAUAAGUAAAUCUCCAAUUUCAGAUGUCUAUUUUUAUACUAAAAAGAAAACACCAAAGUGUUCUCUUCAAAGAAGUCGUAAUAUGCAGCUCUGACAUUGAAGGUCAAUGCAUUUAAUAUAAAGAGUUCAUAGCAACUGCAGCCACCUCCUGUAUCUUCCUCCUGUCACCAGCUGUCAGUAAACACUUUAGCAUUGCAUGGGGAUUUGGAUUAAUUUAGUUAAGAAAAUGGCGUAUUUUGAUAACUGUAACCUAUUAAUCAAAAUGGCACAGCACGGCACACACUAGCCAGAUGUCGCAUUGGCACGAGUUUCACUGAAUAAAUGAGAAUAUAUACCAGUAUAACUAAAGACCACAGUUUUAUCAUGCACUGUUUUUCUCUAGUUCUUCUUUUUACAGAUGGAAAAACUGACUGCGCUGUGGUGGCCUUGAUCAGAUAAGACCUCUUCAUUGCUCGCCUGGGGAGAGUUUAAGCUGAAGUGUUGGUCCAAAGAACCAAAAGAACCAAAAUACCAGGAGUGGCCAUAUAGAUGGAUAAAGAUAACCUCAUAAAGAAAAGGAAAAUAGGGCGGCCGACGUCUCGCUGACCCACUUUCUGCGCCGCCGCUUAAAGAGGGAAGCCGCCAAGUAGCUGUCCGCGGUGCUGAACCCGGGUACCGAGGAGGAGGAAGAGGAGGAGCGGAGGAAGAGGGAGAAGGAGGCAGAUCCUCCACCCAAGGCCCCCCUUUGGUCUCUUGUCGUGAACCGCCGGGCGGCGGGUUCAACCAAACCCACCACAGCGGUCGAUGCGACGCUGAAACUCAGCAGCAGCAUAUUACAAUACACCGUGCAUUUUUUUCGGCUUUUGUGUUGUGUUCGCUUUAUUUAAGACUACCUAACAUGCAUAUUUAGCGCAAUUUCACUACUGUAAACUGAUUUAUCUUGAACAAGUCUUUAUUUAUGGAUGCGGCAUUCGGGUUUAUUCAAAUUAGAAUGAUAAAACGCGCUGGGACGCCCUCAGUCAGAGUCCGCUUGGUAUUAAAGAAGGCGCACCAUGGCCCCCUAUGGACAUUUAAUAAAGAAAACUGUCUGGCUCCCCACACUCGAAGGAAAUCGAUGCAUAACUGGUCAAAUAGUAAUAAUUAUAUAAUAUAUAAUAUAAUAAUUUACAAUGACUGCAAAGGAAAUCAAACAUUUUAGAAGCUAAUCUAUAAUUAAGUAUGAUGGUUUAUUGAUCCUAGCAGACCCAACCGGUUUACAUUUCUACUUAGCUAGAGCUAAGUACCACGUUCCUUUUAAACUGCAAACAAUAUACGACACCAAUAAUAUACAAUACCAUGGAGUAGGGAUCAAAAUCUUCCUCAUAUUUCUGAAAUAGAUAGAGAAUUAACAUGUAGCUCAUUAAAACUGAUUGAUACAUUAAUAAUGGAUUAGCAAACUAGACAAAAUGAAAAUGAAAGGAACUUAGAAAUAUUAGUAAGAUUUCCUUUGACAACCAGUUUUAUAGAACAGAUGUAAAACCCGUCUAUUAAAUGAAAAACAUGAAGACACAGGGUGACUUUCAAAGACUCCCACUUUCAUUCAAUAAUGGCGAGCACAGUUAGCAGGAACCCGCGCACACUCACACAAAAUCAGUCCUAAUCACUCCUCCCAAAGACGGCAGCAAUUUAAUUUGAGGGAAGAAAACAGAACAACGGACAUCACAUUAAUCAUUUACAUCUUUAUUUUUGUGUUUUGAUGCAAACAAAUAAAGAACCCGUUUGUAACAUUU